GGUUAAGCGACUAAGCGUACACGGUGGAUGCCCUGGCAGUCAGAGGCGAUGAAGGACGUGCUAAUCUGCGAAAAGCGUCGGUAAGGUGAUAUGAACCGUUAUAACCGGCGAUGUCCGAAUGGGGAAACCCAGUGCAAUUCGUUGCACUAUCGUUAACUGAAUACAUAGGUUAACGAGGCGAACCGGGGGAACUGAAACAUCUAAGUACCCCGAGGAAAAGAAAUCAACCGAGAUUCCCCCAGUAGCGGCGAGCGAACGGGGAGCAGCCCAGAGUCUGAAUCAGCUUGUGUGUUAGUGGAACGGUCUGGAAAGUCCGACGGUACAGGGUGAUAGUCCCGUACACCAAAAUGCACAGGCUGUGAACUCGAAGAGUAGGGCGGGACACGUGGUAUCCUGUCUGAAUAUGGGGGGACCAUCCUCCAAGGCUAAAUACUCCUGACUGACCGAUAGUGAACCAGUACCGUGAGGGAAAGGCGAAAAGAACCCCGGCGAGGGGAGUGAAAAAGAACCUGAAACCGUGUACGUACAAGCAGUGGGAGCACCUUCGGGUGUGACUGCGUACCUUUUGUAUAAUGGGUCAGCGACUUAUAUUCUGUAGCAAGGUUAACCGUAUAGGGGAGCCGCAGGGAAACCGAGUCUUAACUGGGCGUUAAGUUGCAGGGUAUAGACCCGAAACCCGGUGAUCUAGCCAUGGGCAGGUUGAAGGUUGGGUAACACUAACUGGAGGACCGAACCGACUAAUGUUGAAAAAUUAGCGGAUGACUUGUGGCUGGGGGUGAAAGGCCAAUCAAACCGGGAGAUAGCUGGUUCUCCCCGAAAGCUAUUUAGGUAGCGCCUCGUGAACUCAUCUUCGGGGGUAGAGCACUGUUUCGGCUAGGGGGUCAUCCCGACUUACCAACCCGAUGCAAACUACGAAUACCGAAGAAUGUUAUCACGGGAGACACACGGCGGGUGCUAACGUCCGUCGUGAAGAGGGAAACAACCCAGACCGCCAGCUAAGGUCCCAAAGUCAUGGUUAAGUGGGAAACGAUGUGGGAAGGCACAGACAGCCAGGAUGUUGGCUUAGAAGCAGCCAUCAUUUAAAGAAAGCGUAAUAGCUCACUGGUCGAGUCGGCCUGCGCGGAAGAUGUAACGGGGCUAAACCAUGCACCGAAGCUGCGGCAGCGACACUAUGUGUUGUUGGGUAGGGGAGCGUUCUGUAAGCCUGCGAAGGUGUGCUGUGAGGCAUGCUGGAGGUAUCAGAAGUGCGAAUGCUGACAUAAGUAACGAUAAAGCGGGUGAAAAGCCCGCUCGCCGGAAGACCAAGGGUUCCUGUCCAACGUUAAUCGGGGCAGGGUGAGUCGACCCCUAAGGCGAGGCCGAAAGGCGUAGUCGAUGGGAAACAGGUUAAUAUUCCUGUACUUGGUGUUACUGCGAAGGGGGGACGGAGAAGGCUAUGUUAGCCGGGCGACGGUUGUCCCGGUUUAAGCAUGUAGGCUGAUUGUCCAGGCAAAUCCGGAUAAUCAAGGCUGAGGUGUGAUGACGAGGCACUACGGUGCUGAAGUAACAAAUGCCCUGCUUCCAGGAAAAGCCUCUAAGCAUCAGGUAACAUCAAAUCGUACCCCAAACCGACACAGGUGGUCAGGUAGAGAAUACCAAGGCGCUUGAGAGAACUCGGGUGAAGGAACUAGGCAAAAUGGUGCCGUAACUUCGGGAGAAGGCACGCUGGUGUGUAGGUGAAGUCCCUGCGGAUGGAGCUGAGACCAGUCGAAGAUACCAGCUGGCUGCAACUGUUUAUUAAAAACACAGCACUGUGCAAACACGAAAGUGGACGUAUACGGUGUGACGCCUGCCCGGUGCCGGAAGGUUAAUUGAUGGGGUUAUCCGUAAGGAGAAGCUCUUGAUCGAAGCCCCGGUAAACGGCGGCCGUAACUAUAACGGUCCUAAGGUAGCGAAAUUCCUUGUCGGGUAAGUUCCGACCUGCACGAAUGGCGUAAUGAUGGCCAGGCUGUCUCCACCCGAGACUCAGUGAAAUUGAACUCGCUGUGAAGAUGCAGUGUACCCGCGGCAAGACGGAAAGACCCCGUGAACCUUUACUAUAGCUUGACACUGAACAUUGAGCCUUGAUGUGUAGGAUAGGUGGGAGGCUUUGAAGCGUGGACGCCAGUCUGCGUGGAGCCAACCUUGAAAUACCACCCUUUAAUGUUUGAUGUUCUAACGUUGGCCCCUGACCGGGGUUGCGGACAGUGUCUGGUGGGUAGUUUGACUGGGGCGGUCUCCUCCCAAAGCGUAACGGAGGAGCACGAAGGUUAGCUAAUCCUGGUCGGACAUCAGGAGGUUAGUGCAAUGGCAUAAGCUAGCUUGACUGCGAGCGUGACGGCGCGAGCAGGUGCGAAAGCAGGUCAUAGUGAUCCGGUGGUUCUGAAUGGAAGGGCCAUCGCUCAACGGAUAAAAGGUACUCCGGGGAUAACAGGCUGAUACCGCCCAAGAGUUCAUAUCGACGGCGGUGUUUGGCACCUCGAUGUCGGCUCAUCACAUCCUGGGGCUGAAGUAGGUCCCAAGGGUAUGGCUGUUCGCCAUUUAAAGUGGUACGCGAGCUGGGUUUAGAACGUCGUGAGACAGUUCGGUCCCUAUCUGCCGUGGGCGCUGGAGAAUUGAGGGGGGCUGCUCCUAGUACGAGAGGACCGGAGUGGACGCAUCACUGGUGUUCGGGUUGUCAUGCCAAUGGCACUGCCCGGUAGCUAAAUGCGGAAGAGAUAAGUGCUGAAAGCAUCUAAGCACGAAACUUGCCCGAGAUGAGUUCUCCCUGAGACUUUAAGUCUCCUGAAGGAACGUUAAAGACGAUGACGUUGAUAGGCCGGGUGUGUAAGCGCAGCGAUGCGUUGAGCUAACCGGUACUAAUGAACCGUGAGGCUUAACCUU
rnacentral:rRNA from 1 species